rnacentral:ncRNA from 1 species
AGUGUAGGCAAGGGGUGCUGGAGAGGCCGGCUGAGAUUUAGACCCGAUAAGGUCUAUGACCCUGUAACCUGAUCUGGGUAAUGCCAGCGUAGGGAAUGCAGCAGAUUUUCUGA